UUUCCGUAGGUGAACCUGCGGAAGGAUCAUUAAUGUGUUUGGGCCUCACGGCUCUUCAUUCCGACGCUGUGCGCCUUCGGGCUGCACGCUGAGGGAGCAUAUAUCCACCCCUGUGCACACACACGGUGGCGAGCUGGGUAACGGCUCGCCGCUGAUCUUUACACACGUCUAAAAGUCAUUGUAUGUUUAUCUGAGAUAAAAACACAACUUUCAGCAACGGAUCUCUUGGCUCUC
rnacentral:misc_RNA from 1 species